AUUGAACGCUGGCGGCAUGCUUUACACAUGCAAGUCGAACGGUAACAGGGUGCUUGCACCGCUGACGAGUGGCGAACGGGUGAGUAAUGCGUCGGAACGUGCCGAGUAGUGGGGGAUAACGCAGCGAAAGUUGUGCUAAUACCGCAUACGUAUUGAGGGAGAAAGUGGGGGACCUUCGGGCCUCACGCUAUUCGAGCGGCCGACGUCUGAUUAGCUAGUAGGUGAGGUAAAGGCUCACCUAGGCGACGAUCAGUAGCGGGUCUGAGAGGAUGAUCGGCCAGACGGGGACUGAGACACGGCCCAGACGCCUACGGGAGGCAGCAGUUGGGAAUUUUGGACAAUGGGCGUAAGCCUGAUCCAGCCAUGCCGCGUGUCUGAAGGAGGCCUUCGGGUUGUAAAGGACUUUUGUCGGGGAGGAAAUCCCCAGCGUUAAUACCGCUGGGGGAUGACAGUACCUGAAGAAUAAGCACCGGCUAACUACGUGCCAGCCGCCGCCAUAACAC
rnacentral:rRNA from 1 species